UACAGAGGUCCCGAGCGUUGUUCGGAUUCACUGGGCGUAAAGGGUGCGUAGGUGGCUGGAAAAGUUUGAUGUGAAAGCUCAGGGCUUAACCCUGAAAUGGCAUUGAAUACUGUCGAGCUGGAGGUUUGGAGGGGGGACUGGAAUUCUUGGUGUAGCAGUGAAAUGCGUAGAUAUCAAGAGGAACACCAGUGGCGAAGGCGAGUCCCUGGACAGAUCCUGACGCUGAGGCACGAAAGCUAGGGGAGCAAACAGG
rnacentral:rRNA from 1 species